AUGACAUUUGAUGUUAUUGACUUCCAACACAAAGCGAUCAUAUGGCCUCAGAACAAUGAACUAUUCGGUGAACUUUGCACAACCUUAGCAUUUUGUUGGAAUUGUUGUGUGUGUUUAUGCUGUGUUUUUUGUCUCUGUAGAGUAAAUCAGUGUCGUCAACUGACAGUCAGGCAGCGGAGGAUCGUCAGGGUCCAUCAGGGGUUUAUUCCUCACAGGCCAGCAGCGAGGCCAAACGGAGACGUUGUGAUGAUAAAGACGUCCUGCCGUCUCACUACAGAUGGGCGAAAGAGGAGAGUGAGAUGAGUGUGAGAGCGAUGGACAAGAGGUGUUGAUGGGGGGGUGUCCCCUACUGUGAUUGCUGAAAUUAGACACAAAGGGAGGGGGGCGGGGAGCAGAAAAAGGACACUGCAAUAUUGUACAUGUAUGUACCUGAUAAAUAUCCCAUAGGGGUAUAUAUUUUUGUGCCUGUGUGUGUGUGCGUGUCGUCUAACUACGUCCUUCUCCUGUCUGUUGUGUUUCAGGACAGUGACGGAGACAAGAGCGAGGACAAUCUUGUAGUAGAUGUCUCAAAUGAGGUCAGUUCUCAUGCGCUGUUAAAUUAACAUUGGUGAAAGACUGCACUUAUUUGCAUAUAUCAAUAACUGCUUAUAAAAGCCCCCAAAUAAAGAUGAAGACAUUGUGGUUAACAAGAGUGAGUAGACUUUACAAUAACUGGGUUUAAUAGAUAUAUUGUUUAUUGCUAUAUUUCAAAAUUAUGGUUCAUAUUGUCUUGAUAGGCUUGAAUUGCUCAAAGGGUAGGAAGAUAUGUAAUAAAUUAAAUGAAUGUGUUCAGUUGACAGCCUAUUUUUAAUCACAGUGAUUUUUUUAUUUGAUUUGUUUUUUGUUUUUUUUUAAAUGUACAUUUGAUUUAUUUCAAAUAGUUUUUAUUAAUUCUGUUGGUUUGUUUUGUUUUGAGGGAUUUUUGUCAAUUUUCUUUCUUGUUUUUUGUUUUGUUUUAAUUUGUUUGGUUUGGUUGUUUGUCAAUUUACUUGUUUUUUUUAUUUUGUUUUUUAUUAUUCUACUAAUGCUGUUUUUGUUUUGUUUUGUUUUGUUUUGCGUUUUUUGUCCGUUUACUUGUUUUUUUUUUUUUUUUUUUUUUUUUUUUUAUUUUUAUUUUUUUUAUUAUUCUACUAAUGCUGUUUUAUGGUUUGGUUUGGUUUUUUGUCAAUUAACAUUCUUGUUUUUGUUUUGUUUUGUGUUUUGUUUUUUAAUUAUUCUGCUAAUGUUGUUCUUUGUUUUGUUUUGGUUUGUUAUUCUACAUCAAAAUUGACCCAGUUUACUUUCUUAAUACAUGUUCUUGGUCUUAUUGUGCCUAAUUCAUCAGUUCAUUCAUUCAGCAUAUUGUUGUAAAAAUACAUUAUCUUCAUACGCAUUAAUCAAAAUGCAAUAACCUUCUUUGCCUGUGAAUAUCAACCCAAUCCAUAACUGGAGAUCAGAAUAUAAUAAAGACUUUGGGCCUCACAGUAAACACCCACAGCACCCUAGCAUUGUGGUGGCAAGUCUUGCACUGACUUUAAUCUUAAUGACAUAUUUGUAUUUGAUUGUAGAGCAGCACCAACAAAUGCAUUUCAUCCUGAAAAAAACUCCCAUUCAUUAUGAUUGCUAUUUUUUCUGUGUAAUUAUCAUCCAUUUCAAGGUAAAACGUUACAGCUCUGUUUCUCAAUUACUGGACAAAUAUUGAACAUCAGUCAUAUUUAUUAAACUGCAUUCAUUCAGUAAUUGCUGAUAGUAUCACAGGCGAAUCAGGAUUGUUUUCUGCUGCAGAGCGUCUGGAGUCAGCGAGCACUGCGCUAUGCUUUUAUAAUCAUUAAGUGACCCCGCUGCAUAAUUAACACAUUUAAAAACAUUAAAAAAAAAAAACAUUCCUGCAAUAUCCUUCAAUAUCCUGUUAUGUCAUUUUCUAGAGUAAACACGGAUGGCCUAAUGAAAUAUAUAAGUGAAUAGAUCAGACAUUGUUCUGUUGAACUCCAGGUUAACAAAGAUCACUUAUUUUGAGCAAACCCUAUUAACCAUUUAAAGUUCACAUAUCCAAACGAAAGCAAAAUGCCUUCAUGCUCUUGAUUCUCCUUAACUCUUUCACUCUGUGUUUUCAGGAGCCGUCCUCUCCUGUAGGCAGUGGCCCUCUGUCUCCACAUGGGAAUGGUUUGGAUCGAGCCCCGACCCUAAGGAAAGAGCUCCCAGGAUCCCCUAGUCCCCCUCCGGCCUCCCCACCACACAGCCCACCCCCUGGCAAAAACAAGGACAUGGCACAAGUAUGACCACUGUUCUCAGACACCUAAUAUACCAGAAUCGACUCUCUUCCCACAUUAUGUCUCAUUCACUAUCGCCAUGCUUCAAUAAUGUUUGACAACCAGGACGUGUCCAAAUACUUUUUUGUCUUUAAUAUAAAAUAUAUGUGGCACUUUUCCUGAACAACAUGCAUAAUAGAGCCUAGAAGUUGUUGUUUUUUAAUUACACAGAUUGUGUGUGUGUGUGUGUGUGUGUGUGUCUGUGUGUGUUUUGUUGCUAUUUUAUAAAUAUAAAAAUACAAAUAAUAAUAAUAAAAUGAUUUAAAGCUAUAUUUGCAGAUUUAAUCUAAUGUAAGGUCUAGUUUGGGACAAAGUGUUGGUUAGUAGUUACUUUUAAACUUAUUUUCUAUCAAUUAAAUUAAAAAAGGUUUUAAAUAUUUUAAUUAUUAUGAAAAUUUUUAUAUUUU
rnacentral:lncRNA from 12 species